rnacentral:rRNA from 1 species
CACGUAGGGCGCAAGCGUUGUCCGGAAUUAUUGGGCGUAAAGGGCUCGUAGGCGGCCUGUCGCGUCGGGAGUGAAAGCCCACUGCUUAACGGUGGGUCUGCUUCCGGUACGGGCGGGCUGGAGUAUGGCAGGGGAGACUGGAAUUCCUGGUGUAGCGGUGGAAUGCGCAGAUAUCAGGAGGAACACCGGUGGCGAAGGCGGGUCUCUGGGCCAUUACUGACGCUGAGGAGCGAAAGCGUGGGGAGCGAACAGG